AUUGAACGCUGGCGGCAUGCCUAACAUAUGCAAGUCGAACGGGGCAGCAAUGCCUAGUGGCGGACGGGUGAGGAACACGUAGGAAUCUGCCCGUAAGUGGGGGAUAACCAGGGGAAACCCUGACUAAUACCGCAUGCUCUCUUCGGAGCAAAGCGGGGGACCGCAAGGCCUCUCGCUUCUGGAUGGGCCUACGUCUGAUUAGCUAGUUGGUAGGGUAAAGGCCUACCAAGGGGACGAUCAGUAACUGGGUUGAGAGGAGGAUCAGUCACACCGGAACUGGGACACGGUCCGGAAUCCUACGGGAGGCAGCAGUGGGAAAUAUUGGACAAUGGGCGCGAGCCUGAUCCAGCAAUGCCGCGUGUGUGAAGAAGGCCUUCGGGUUGUAAAGCACUUUAGCCUGGAAAGAAAAAACUUUGGUUAACACCCAAAGUCUUGACGGUACCAGGAGAGUAAGCACCGGCUAACUCUGUGCCAGCCGCCGCCGUAAUAC
rnacentral:rRNA from 1 species